rnacentral:antisense_RNA from 1 species
CUUCACCGACCCCAGCAGCAGCGGCGUCUCCCGCCCCUGCCCGUACGUCGCCAACAACGCCUGCGCCUC